rnacentral:rRNA from 1 species
UGGGGAAUUUUGGACAAUGGGCGCAAGCCUGAUCCAGCCAUGCAGCGUGCGGGAAGAAGGCCUUCGGGUUGUAAACCGCUUUUGUCAGGGAAGAAAUCUUCUGAGUUAAUACCUCGGGAGGAUGACGGUACCUGAAGAAUAAGCACCGGCUAACUACGUGCCAGCAGCCGCGGUAAUACGUAGGGUGCAAGCGUUAAUCGGAAUUACUGGGCGUAAAGCGUGCGCAGGCGGUUUUGUAAGACAGAGGUGAAAUCCCCGGGCUCAACCUGGGAACUGCCUUUGUGACUGCAAGGCUUGAGUGCGGCAGAGGGGGAUGGAAUUCCGCGUGUAGCAGUGAAAUGCGUAGAUAUGCGGAGGAAACACCGAUGGCGAAGGCAAUCCCCUGGGCCUGCACUGACGCUCAUGCACGAAAAGCGUGGGGAGCAAAACAGGAUUAGAUACCCUGGUAGUCCACGCCCUAAAACGAUGUCAACUGGUUGUUGGGAAGGUUCCUUCUCAGUAACGUAGCUAACGCGUGAAGUUGACCGCCUGGGGAGUACGGCCGCAA